AUGGGGAUGGGGCCAAAUGGCCAAAUCCAAUUUGAGUCCCUCAACCAAUCAGGUUUCCCACCCCCAUCUCCCCUUUGUCCCGCAGGGCUCCGGGCGGCCGUGACCCUGCUGGAGUGCGGGGGGGACCUCCAGCCCCCCGGGGGGUCCCUGCGCCUCCUCUGCCGAGGGGCCGGGUUCAGUUUUGGGAGCUACGACAUGAACUGGAUCCGCCAGAGACCCGGGCAGGGGCUGGAAUGGGUCGCAGGGAUCAGCAGCAGUGGUUCCAGCACCUACUACGCGCCAUCGGUCAAGGGCCGGUUCACGAUCUCCAGGGACAACGGGCAGAGCUCGGUGACGCUGACCAUGAACAACCUCAAGGACGAGGAUUCCGCCACCUAUUUCUGUGCCAAAUGUUACAGCGGUUUUACUUACCCUGCUUAUGCUUAUGGUAUUGAUGGUGCCCUUUUUAUCAAAUCUCCACUGGUCUUCCCCAAACUCUGCCCCUGCUGCCCCAACUCUUGA